rnacentral:lncRNA from 1 species
GCAUGCUCGGGCAAGGCAGUAAACAAGUGAGUUUCACCGGGCCUGCGCAAGGCCGUACCCGCUUCCCGCAGACUGGAACUUUCCUGCCUCAGGAACACAACUAAAACCAGUGCUUAGAAGAAGCUUCAGAAUAACAACUUUGGCUCAGAAUGCAGUGAAUAUUCUAAGCAGAGAAACACAGCACAAAGAAGAGAGAGCAUCGGGGAAGAUUCCCAGUCACAAAACAAGGUGUUCAUGGGCUUUCCCACCAAGAAAGUCAGGCUUCCUGUUUCUUGGAAGGGGCAAAUUUGUUUGGGCCUUUAAAAAAAAAAAAAAGGCUGGAAUCUUGCUAGCAACUCUGAGGUGGGGUCUUUCUCCUUGCUUCUGGAUGGCUACAAUUUGCCUUCUACGUGAUGAAGCUGAUGUCCGUCCCACUCUCUCCGAAGGAGCUGGUGAAGCCUGACAGCAGGCUGGAAGAGACCAUCUAUGCUACUUGCUCUCCCACCUACACCUGUGCUCCAAGCUUAAAGAAAUAGCUUUGCUUUUGAUCUAAAUCGUACUGCCUGUCCUUUGAAACCAACAACCUAGACUCAUUUAGCAUCUGCUAGGGGACAUUACUCAGUGCUGCACCAUUAAGAACUCAAUCAGCUCUAAUGAGCUGAGCACAGGCUCGGCCCUCUGUCUCCUCCAGGCAAGUUUGUGCUCAGCUGUGGGAUUUUGGAUCAUCAGUCCUGGAUGAUGACCAUGUGCCGUGAGACAACCCGGUGCAUGUACCUCUUCUUCCACACCUCAUACAGAGGUCCAGAGAAGCAAAGGGGAUGGAUGACUCUGGGAGGGUGGAGAAAAGACAGUAGAUGAGAUUUUUGUGUUCUCCAUGCCCCACAACUACUGGGAGGACCGGACUCGGAUCUGCUGAGCAUGACUUCUGCGGGUAUUCAUCAAGCUACUGUGGCAAUUAACUCCAUCUUCAUCAACAAGAAGGUGCAGCAUCCCAUGCUCCAUUGAAAACCCAGAUGCACUGAGGAGUCAGGGAAGCGCUCAAAAUCACAGACGAAACAGAACCAAGAUGGGAACAUGAACCUAUCUCUUGGAAAGCCUGCUCCAAGUGGGAAGAGGCAGGCUGUUUCCUUCCACCCCCUUUAUGGCUUACAAAAUCUCCUUUGGGGGUUUCAUAUGGAGCCUGGAGGUGAAGGACUCCUCUGCUCACAGGGACUCAGCAUGAAACAUUUCCAGAAGGGUGUCCUGGGGCAGUGGCCGCCCCCAGAUGAGUAAAGAGUGACGUUCAGAAGGCUGAGGAGAGAGAACUGGCAUCAGUGGCUUCACUCCCAGGUGACUCCUGCAGUCCACAGAACACAAUUCAUGCCUUUCACACCUCCAGAAAACUGUAUAGCUCCCUUCUUUAAAAAUUACAGUCACCAGGUGUGGUGGCGCAUGCAUUUAAUCCUAGUACUUGGGAGACACAU